GACGAACGCUGGCGGCGUGCUUAACACAUGCAGGUCGAACGGAAAGGCCCUGCUUUUGUGGGGUGCUCGAGUGGCGAACGGGUGAGUAACACGUGAGUAACCUGCCCUUGACUUUGGGAUAACUUCAGGAAACUGGGGCUAAUACCGGAUAGGAGCUCCUGCUGCAUGGUGGGGGAUGGAAAGUUUCGGCGGUUGGGGAUGGACUCGCGGCUUAUCAGCUUGUUGGUGGGGUAGUGGCUUACCAAGGCUUUGACGGGUAGCCGGCCUGAGAGGGUGACCGGCCACAUUGGGACUGAGAUACGGCCCAGACUCCUACGGGAGGCAGCAGUGGGGAAUAUUGCACAAUGGGCGGAAGCCUGAUGCAGCAGCGCCGCGUGCGGGAUGACGGCCUUCGGGUUGUAAACCGCUUUCGCCUGUGACGAAGCGUGAGUGACGGUAAUGGGUAAAGAAGCACCGGCUAACUACGUG
rnacentral:rRNA from 1 species